GCCUGGGUGGCUCAGUUGGUUAAGCGACCGGUUUCGGCUCAGGUCGUGACCUUGAGAUUCGUGGGUUCGAACCCCACGUCAGGCU
rnacentral:tRNA from 1 species